CCUGAUUUUCAAACCGAACUUGUGGGGAUUGUUCCUCCUCUGAUCCUUUGUGACUCUUUGUGACUCCUUUGUGACUCCUUUGUGACUCCUUUGUGACUCCUGGGGGCUGGAGAGGGCCCCACCACUGUGCACACACAGGGACCGACCUGUGUGUGCAGCUCUGAGCUCUGGGCUCAUUAACAACCACCAGGGAGUUUUAAAGUUCAGCCCUACUGCAGCAAUAGGUUCAGGUCUUCCACAGUCCCUCCCAGGUCUGCAUCUCCAGGUGUUCUGCCAGGGUGGCUCAUUCUCGUCCUCCUUUGCUCACCAGGGAGUGAAGCAGGGGCAGGCACAGGGAUUUGCUCACUGCAAGUGGCCAGGCUCCCCUCUGGAAGCUCCUGCCCUCCCACCAGCUCCUGCCUCCACUUCUCCAUUGCAGCAGCAUUCGUGGCCAACCCCACUGGAAUAAUUUUCUGCUUUCAAAUGAAUCAUGCUGAGGAAUUCAUGAUGUGGGAGCGACAGGAUUAUUUUUGCUUCUGUCACGGAUGCUGGCAGAGUGACCCCUGCUCCUCCCGCUGGUGCUGCAGCUCAGCCCAGGGCAGUGACAGCCCUCCUGGCCCUGGGGAGCCCCGGCUGUGCCCUGUGGUGGCCCAGCCCGCGGGGAGGGCUCCCAGGCCCUGCCUUCAGGACAGGGUUUGCCUGGCUCUGCUGCACAUCCUCCCUUCCUGGCCUGGCUCUGUCCUCGUUCCGUGCAGGGCCUGGCACGCACAGAGCGCUGAGGAUCAGCAGUCCUGGGACAAAGCACAGACAGGCUGCUCAAGGACCUUGCAAGCACCAGAAUAAACCAAUUUUGGUGCAUUUUACUGUUUCUAAGAUAAUUUCCCCCCAUUUGUUUCUACCAUGUGGUCGUUUGUUGCUUCCAAAACCAAACCAACACAACCCUUUCAUUAUCAGCAGAAAAUCCUUUCAAAACUCUUCUCCUGUGUCUUUCCCAAUGUAGGGCUGUGAGCUGGACAAAGAAGUCUUGCCCUAAAUUUCCCGUAAGUGGAGGAGCUGCGGGGUGGGGCAGCUGAGCAGGGCCGGCUGGGAGCGGCUGGAGUUGGGC
rnacentral:lncRNA from 1 species